rnacentral:lncRNA from 1 species
GCCAAGCGGCUCCUCGGAGGAGAAGGAGGGUGGCGAGGGCUGUACGAUGGUGCGGAAAAGCACCGGCAUCGAGUCAUUGUGCGACCGGCUGCGGCGGUAGCGGUAGGAGCAGCUAGCGGGGGAAGGCUGGCUGGGGGGAGACAGCCGCUUUCUGCAACAGUGUUCAAAGAGUUUUGCUUAAGUGUUGCUGCUCUUUAGGGCUUCCUCCAAAAAAAGAAAGGAAAGCGAAAUCUUUCCGUGCGGGAUGAAAGCGGCCUGUCUUGACUAUUUACCCAGCAAUUAUAAGUAAAUCGGUGGUGCCUAAAGGGGCUGGUUGCCAUAGUUACGAUAGGAUUGGAAGGACCAUCAUUUGGUCCUGGCCGCAGCCAAUCAGGCUGAGAAGCCAAAGCUGCAAUAUAAAGUAAAGAUUCCCAUCUUCCAGCCACACAGUUGCCAAGAAAGGGAAAUAGGUUCAAGAGUCUUGGAAAGUGCUCCGGACAGCAAGCAGGGCGGCUGCUCCCGUCAUGGCGGACUGCGAACACCCGGCAGGAGCGCGACGCAGCGGGGCAGGCAGCUUUCCCUGCAGAAAGAAGCAGAUAAUCUCCGUGGUCACUCCUGGGCCAGGGCUGGCCUCACGGCUYCUCAGACUGGGACCUCAGCUGGUGUCCAUCAGGGCAGAGCCUUUUCUGUAGCUGCUUCCCAGAGACAUCCGAACAGCCCAUGGGAUGGUGGCACAAGAUGAUGAGUCUUCUGGCAGUCUU